rnacentral:rRNA from 1 species
GACGAACGCUGGCGGCGUGCUUAACACAUGCAAGUCGAACGGAAAGGCCCUGGUUUUGUGGGGUGCUCGAGUGGCGAACGGGUGAGUAACACGUGAGUAACCUGCCCUUGACUUUGGGAUAACUUCAGGAAACUGGGGCUAAUACCGGAUAGGAGCUCCUGCUGCAUGGUGGGGGUUGGAAAGUUUCGGCGGUUGGGGAUGGACUCGCGGCUUAUCAGCUUGUUGGUGGGGUAGUGGCUUACCAAGGCUUUGACGGGUAGUCUGCCUGAGAGGGUGACCGGCCACAUUCAAACUGAGAUACGCCCCAGACUCCUACUGGGAUCAGCAGUGAGGAAUAUUGCACAAUGGUCGGAAGCCUGAUGCAGCAACUCCACGUGCGGGAUGACGGCCUUCGGGUUGUAAACCGCUUUCGCCUGUGACGAAGCGUAAGUAACGGUAAUAGGUAAAGAAGCACCGGCUAACUACGUG